GAUGAACGCUGGCGGCGUGCUUAACACAUGCAAGUCGAACGGACUUUAAAUGAAGCCUAGCGAUUUUAAAGUUAGUGGCGGACGGGUGAGUAACGCGUGGGUAACCUGCCGUAUACAGGGGGAUAACACUUAGAAAUAGGUGCUAAUACCGCAUAAGCGCACAGCUUUGCAUGAAGCAGUGUGAAAAACUCCGGUGGUAUACGAUGGACCCGCGUCUGAUUAGCUAGUUGGUGAGGUAACGGCCCACCAAGGCGACGAUCAGUAGCCGGCCUGAGAGGGUGAACGGCCACAGUGGGACUGAGACACGGCCCAAACUCCUACGGGAGGCCGGAGUGGGGAAUAUUGCACAAUGGGGGAAACCCUGAUGCAGCGACGCCGCGGGAGGGAAGAAGUAUUUCGGUAUGUAAAGCUCUAUCAGCAGGGAAGAAAAUGACGGUACCUGACUAAGAAGCUCCGGCUAAAUACGUGCCAGCCGCCGCCGUAAUAC
rnacentral:rRNA from 1 species